GGGGGCGGUCCGCUUAGAGAACUUGGCAGAUAAAAAGCAGUACGUGCUCUGUUAUCUUACUGGUUUGGAACCAUUUUCCUUCUGUUGCAUUGUAAUAUUCUGGAAGGGAAGUAGAGAUCACCUAGUCCAGAGAUUUCAAGGAAUAUUUUAAACUUUAGAAUCUUCUGUUCAAUUCUGAAAACACACACACGCAUGCACACACACUCACAGAGCGAGCUAAAAGUAGAAGUGGCUUUUAUCAGCAAGCUUGCUUACCCUUGCUCCAGCCUUUGCCCAUAGCAGCCUUGGAUGCUUCUGAGGACCCUUAGAGCCCCACAGACACAUUUUGAAAGUCUGAUGCCUUCAUUUAUAGGUGAAAAAACAGAUGAAGGGGCUUGCCCAAGGUCACACAGCAAAAGCAAAAACUCAGGAUUUCCUAGGAUCACUCCCAGUCCUAGCAUUCUAGGAAUUAAUAACUUCUAGCUGAGCUAUCCCUCUAGUGUUCUUUCAUGUGCUUUGUGUUUGUCAUUCAUUUACUUAGUGGCUGUUACUGAGCACCUGCUAUGCAUUUUAGUACACAGUAGGCACCCAGCACUAUUAGGUACCAAUCCUGGGAGUUAGUAGAAGCAAAAGCAGCCACUUUCUGCCCUCAUAGGGCUUUCAGUCUAGUGGUGGGGGCAGAAAAACUACAUCUGUGGCCAGUACCAUGAAGGGGAGCAUGGUGUGGUAAGGACAUACAAGUGGAUAUGAGGCCAGUUGUGCUGCUGGAACAGAAAUACCAUAGACUGGGUGACUUAGAAACAACAGAAAUUAAUUUCUCACAAUUCUCACAAUUCUGGAGGCUAGGAAAUCUAAGAUCAAGGCACUGACAAACUUAGUGUAUGAUGAGGACACACUUCCUGGGUUACAGAGGACCAUCCUCUCAGUGUCCUCACUGGGUGGAAGGAGUGAGGAAGCUCUCUGAAUUCCUUUUAUAAGGGUACUAAUCCCAUUGAGGAGGGCUCUACCCUCAUGACCUAAUCACUUCCCAAAGGCCCCAGCCCAAACACUACCAUCACAUUGGGGAUUAGGUUUCUACAUAUAAAUUUGAGGGGGACACAGACAUUCAGUCUGUAGCAUGAGGGAUUUAACCUAGUUAGGAAGUGACCUAGAGCCCAGACCUAAAGGUCAAUAGAGGAGGAGAGAGGACAGAAUUGUUGCAGGUGGAAGGAGCCCCAUAUGCAAAGCCCUGUGGCAGGUGUGAGCAAGCAAGGUGGAUGGAACAUGCCAGGCUAGAGAGGCUGGAGAGCAGGAAGCUGGAGCACAGCCAGGCAGGGGCUGCGGCUGUGCACCGCACAGGGCCACACAGGCUGUUAAAGAGCGCUGGGGCUCCAUCCGAGGAUUAGAUUUGUGUUUUGAAGAGAUGUCUCCAGUUGUAGAAGGUACCUGAAUGCCUGUCCCCAACCCUAUCUCAGCUGAGUUCCUUUCAUUUCAUUUGCCGUCUCCUUUUCUGACUUCUGUCACACGCUGCUUGGGGUGCUCUCGGCAGAUCUGGUUGCCACUCUUUGUGGCACAUGCAUUUCGGCUCUGAGAUAUAUGUGUGUGUGUUUGGUGUGUGAGUGUGUUGCGACUGUAUCAUUCAUUCAAUAAAUAUGAAGUUAUUAAGUGUU